rnacentral:rRNA from 1 species
AUUGAACGCUGGCGGCAGGCUUAACACAUGCAAGUCGAGCGGAGCGAGGGUGCUUGCACCUUAGCUUAGCGGCGGACGGGUGAGUAAUGCUUAGGAAUCUGCCUAUUAGUGGGGGACGACAUUCCGAAAGGAAUGCUAAUACCGCAUACGCCCUACGGGGGAAAGCAGGGGAUCUUCGGACCUUGCGCUAAUAGAUGAGCCUAAGUCGGAUUAGCUAGUUGGUGGGGUAAAGGCCUACCAAGGCGACGAUCUGUAGCGGGUCUGAGAGGAUGAUCCGCCACACUGGGACUGAGACACGGCCCAGACUCCUACGGGAGGCAGCAGUGGGGAAUAUUGGACAAUGGGCGGAAGCCUGAUCCAGCCAUGCCGCGUGUAUGAAGAAGGCCUUUUGGUUGUAAAGCACUUUAAGCGAGGAGGAGGCUCUUAAGGUUAAUACCCUUGAUGAGUGGACGUUACUCGCAGAAUAAGCACCGGCUAACUCUGUGCCAGCCGCCGCAGUAAUAC